rnacentral:rRNA from 1 species
UACGUAGGGGGCGAGCGUUAUCCGGAUUCACUGGGUGUAAAGGGAGCGUAGACGGCCAUGCAAGCCAGGGGUGAAAGCCCGGGGCCCAACCCCGGGACUGCAUUUGGAACUGUUAAGCUGGAGUGUCGGAGAGGCAGGCGGAAUUCCUAGUGUAGCGGUGAAAUGCGUAGAUAUUAGGAGGAACACCAGUGGCGAAGGCGGCCUGCUGGACGAUGACUGACGUUGAGGCUCGAAAGCGUGGGGAGCAAACAGG